GUGACGGACUCUCUGUUGUUGGCACUUAGUCAUUUGUUGCUGGUUUAGUCCCAGUUCACAGAUGGUUCCUGAUAAGUAUCCGGCUGGAUUUUGGGAUGGUUUGGUCUGCUGAGUUCUGGACUGUUCAUCGGUUCCUAUUUGCUGGUUUGGUGUCGCAUCUCCAAAGAAAGAGGAAUUGUGUGGGGAGGUGCUGACUAUUAUAC